ensembl:ncRNA F57F10.6 ncRNA
AAAAAUUACAGCUGUCACGUUAAAAGUGAUCUAUUCCCAAAGGAUAGGUACUUUAAACAUAACUUUUA